rnacentral:misc_RNA from 1 species
AGUUUUGAUUCUGAAAGCUCAGAUUGAACGCUGGCGGGAUGCUUUACAUGCAAGUCGAACGGCAGCACGGACUUCGUCUGGUGGCGAGUGGCGAACGGAGUGAGUAAUGUAUCGGAGACGUGCCCUGGUAGCGGGGGAUAACUAUGGCGUAAUAUUCUGCCGCGCCCUUCGGGAAAAGCAGGGGACCUUCCGGGCCUCGCACUAAUGAAACGGCCGAUAUCGGAUUAGCUGAACGGUGAGAUAACGGCUGCCAGGCGACGAUCAGUAGCUGGUUUGAGAGGACAGCCAGCCACGCCGGGUUGGACGGCCAGACUCUACGGGAGGCAGCAGUGGGAAAUUUGGACAAUGGGAAAC